rnacentral:sRNA from 1 species
GUUUGCACUCAUCGGGGAAGGAUGAGAACCUUCGACUAAGGUUCGAUUCGAGCGAAAGCGAGAGAACGUUGCCACAGGCAACGGCCCGAAGGGUGAGGAGCGAAGCGACGAAUAAUCCUUCCCCCACCACCA